ensembl:lncRNA
CGGACUAUUGGGGUGGGAGAAUCCAAAGUUUAGGGGGAACCUAUUCUGUUCUGUAUAAAAAUAGUCCUACUCACUCUAUUGCUUUGCAAGGAAAACAUCAAUUAGAUUGAACAAUGUUCCCUGCAGAAUGUAGAUGCCGCGUUGUCUCUGGACACCUCCUUUGAGUUCGCUUUGGACUGCGUUGUGUCUUCUGUUGGGAGGAAAUUAUCAACAACAAGAGGAAAUCCUGGACUAGUAUUGAAUAGUCCUCAUUUUAAAGCACUGUUCACAAUUGCCAAGAUUAGGAAGCAACCUAAGUGUCUAUCAACAGACGAAUGGAUAAAGAAAACAUAUACACAAUGGAGUACUAUUCAGCCACGAAAAAGAAUAAGAUCCUGUCAUUUGCAGCAACAUGGAUGGAACUGGAGAACAUUAUGUUAAAGUGAAGUAAUAGGCACAGAAAGACAAACUUUGGAUGUUCUCACUCAUUGGGGGAUCUAAACAUUAAAACAAUUGAACUCAUUGACACAAGAGUAGAAGGAUGGUUACCAGAGGCAGGGAAGGGGUGAAAGGGGUGGGGGUGGUGAAAAUGGCUAAUGAAUAGAAAAGUAUAGUUAGAAUGAAUAAGAUAUAGUAUUUGAUAGCACCACAAAAUGACUGCAGUCAACAAUAACUUACUGUACAUUUAAAAAUAACGAAAAGUGUAAUUGGAUGUAACACAAAUAAAUAAUAAAUAUUUGAGGUGAUGGAUACCAUAUUUACCCUGAUGUAAUCAUUAUGUAUGCUUAUAUCAAAAUAUCUCCUAUGCCCCAUAAAUAGAUACACCUAAAAUGUACCCAUAAAAAAUAAAAUUAUAUAAAAAAGAAGGAACCCAUGAGAAUAGUCUUUAGCUCAAAAUCUUACUUCUCUGGUUCAUGAAAGUGAUAAGCAGUAUAUAGGAGAUGCCUGCUA